CUGAUGGCGACCGGCGUACGGGUGAGUAACGCGUAUCCAACCUGCCCUUUACUAUGGGACAGCCCGUCGAAAGGCGGAUUAAUACCGUAUGUUGUCAUGUUGAUGCAUAUUUUCAUGACCAAAGGCUUCGGCCGGUAAGGGAUGGGGAUGCGUCUGAUUAGCUUGCCGGCGGGGUAACGGCCCACCGGGGCGACGAUCAGUAGGGGUUCUGAGAGGAAGGUCCCCCGCAUUGGAACUGAGACACGGUCCAAACUCCUACGGGAGGCAGCAG
rnacentral:rRNA from 1 species